UGACGGUACCAGAGGAAUCAGCAUCGGCUAACUCCGUGCCAGCAGCCGCGGUAAGACGGAGGAUGCAAGCGUUAUCCGGAAUGAUUGGGCGUAAAGCGUCCGCAGGUGGCAGUUCAAGUCUGCUGUCAAAGACCGGGGCUCAACCUCGGAAAGGCAGUGGAAACUGAACAGCUAGAGUAUGGUAGGGGCAAAGGGAAUUCCUGGUGUAGCGGUGAAAUG
rnacentral:rRNA from 1 species